UAGCGUAUAUUAAAGUUGUUGCAGUUAAAACGCUCGUAGUCGGAUUUCGGGGCGAACUCGCCGGUCUGCCGAUGGGUAUGCACUGGCGAGGGCGUCCUUCCUUCCGGAGACUGGUCCUACUCUUAACUGAGCGGGGUCGGGAGUCGGAUCGUUUACUUUGAAAAAAUCAGAGUGUUUCAAGCAGGCAGCUCGCUCUUGCAUGGAUUAGCAUGGGAUAAUGAAAUAGGACUUUGGUGCUAUUUUGUUGGUUUCGAACACCGAAGUAAUGAUUAACAGGGACAGUCAGGGGCACUCGUAUUCCGCCGAGAGAGGUGAAAUUCUCAGACCAGCGGAAGACGAACCACUGCGAAAGCAUUUG
rnacentral:rRNA from 1 species